rnacentral:tRNA from 1 species
GCAUUGGUGGUUCAGUGGUAGACUUCUGGUCUACUAUGUGGGAGACCUGGGUUCAAUUCCCAGCUAAUAUA